rnacentral:lncRNA from 1 species
UGUUUUCUUUUGGGAGGGGAGGAGGAAGUGUUAUAAGGAGAGGUACAAGACCUGGGGGAUUAGGGGCUCCUGUGUGAUUUUUUAAUGUGGGACGUGGGCAAGGACAGUCUAAACCCUCUUGGGCUUUAGAUACCUGGGUUGCUCCCAGGUGGAAGAUAAAGUGGUUUCCUUUCUCUGUCCUAAAUGUUGUCAUAUAAUAGAGACUUCGGGACUGUGAGCGUAUUGCUUGUCUAACCCCACAUUUUCUCAUUUGUCAAUGUGCAUAGCAACAGUACUUCCUGCUGUUACGAAAAUCAAUAUAGUACCUAAGUGAGCAUGCAUUAUUAGCUAUUAUUAUUGUUAAAUUAGCAAUAUAUUUAGGGCUCUAUUUUCACAGAAAAGCUUUGUGUGGAUUAUGCAGCCAUAUUGAAUUAGUGAGCCUGGGGGCCCCCUUGCUCUGUAUGGAUUACCCCUUGAGGAGAAAGAAGGGGAUCUAAACAUGUUGCCGUUGGAAAGGCCAAAGGGGAAAGAUCUUGGUGAGAGGGAUUACCCAAGGUAAAACCUCUCAAGAAUCCUGGCUGCUGGGGUUUUCCAUAUGCCUCAGAAGUUCAGACAGGUGUGGCCCCCUGGUACCCCACCGAAGGAUGACUCAGCACAGGGAGGAGAGCCACUAGGCUUAACAGACGCACAACUUCCUGCUCCCCUGGGCUUUCCCUAGGUAUCCGCACAGCCCGCCACCUUCAUCCAUCAGGUGGAUGACCUGAGAUUGGCUGAGGCAGGUCAGGUGGAGAGCAGUGGCCUCCCAAAUAGACUGCACUCAGAGCUGGAGUCAGCACAGCGUGUUAUUUCCUGUCUUCUCAGUGUCCUCACCUUAAAUGGAGUUGCUAUUGUUCAGUGAUCUGAAAGGGCUUUCCCCGGGUGGUUCCUGUUUGCUCCCAACGACUUCCCUGCUGACUGCUCUUCACAUCAAGACUCUGGGCUGGCUCUGUGACUGCACUGACCCAUAGAAUUCAGUAGGAGUGAUAAUCCAGGGCUUCUAGGACCAGUUCUUAAGAAGAGUGUUGGCAGACUUCCUUGGUGGCGCAGUGGAUAGGAAUCUGCCUGCAAAUGAAGGGGGCACAGGUUUGAUCCCUGGGCCAGGAAGAUUCCACAUGCUGUGGGACAACUAAGCCCAUGCACCGCAACAAGAGAAGCCACCACAAUAGGAAGCUCAAGCACUGCAAGGAAGAAGAGCCCCUACUCACUGCAACUAGAGAAAGCCCGCUUAGAGCCACAAAGACACAGUGUAACCAAAACUAAAAACAAAUAAAUACAUAAAUUAAAAAAAAAAAAAAAGAUUG